CAGGGUGGGAUGAUUAACUGGAAUAGACUGUUUCCUCCUCUGCGUCGUAGACAUAAUGCGAAUUAUCAAGAUCAUCGCCCGUCUGAACAAGACACACCUCCACCUACUGAGGUUUCUGAAGAGCAGGUUGCACGACUUAUGGAAAUGGGGUUUUCCAGAGGAGAUGCUCUAGAAGCUCUGAGGGCUUCAAAUAAUGACUUAAAUGUAGCCACUAAUUUUCUACUGCAGCACUGAUGGUUUGCUGUGUGAAGGAACCUCACUUGAUGGGUUUGUACACGUCUGCAAGGGGAUCAAAGCCACCUGCUGGACAGACUCACGAAGGUCGUCUCCGCAAGAGCGUCAGAAAGGAGAAACUGGCUCUGCGUGACUGGUGAUUCAAAGCAAUGUUAAUGAAUGACAUGAACUGUUCCCAAGCCUUCAGAUCACUUGGUGGUUUCUAGUCUGGUUAUCCUUUUCAAAGUAACUUUAGUUUCUCCUUAUUACUGGAUAUCACCUAAAUUUAUUUUUUAAAUAAAGUAGGUGUUUUUUUCUUGUAAAACCUUGUAAGACAUUAUCAGACUUAAUGACUAGGAAAAAAAGCUCCAACACCCACAACAACUAGAUUUACCUAUCAAGAAAAAUCAUAUUUUCUUCCUUUACCAGUCUAACUUCUCUAUCUUUCAUGUUAUUUUACAAUACUUGAUUUUUUAUUACAGUAAUAAGAGGUUUGAAGAUCACUUCAUUUUCAAGUCAGUAAAGGGUUAUGAGACUACUGUGUCAUUCUUCGGAAAGUUUUACUAAUGCUUGUAAUAUUUCAUUUCUUGAAUUCCUUUUUAAAUAAAGUUGUCAUUCAGCACAUAAUACACAGA